GAUGAACGCUGGCGGCGUGCCUAAUACAUGCAAGUAGAACGCUGAAGGAGGAGCUUGCUCUUCUGGAUGAGUUGCGAACGGGUGAGUAACGCGUAGGUAACCUGCCUGGUAGCGGGGGAUAACUAUUGGAAACGAUAGCUAAUACCGCAUGACAACAGUUAUUGCAUGAUAACUGUUUAAAAGGGGCAACUGCUCCACUACCAGAUGGACCUGCGUUGUAUUAGCUAGUUGGUGAGGUAACGGCUCACCAAGGCGACGAUACAUAGCCGACCUGAGAGGGUGAUCGGCCACACUGGGACUGAGACACGGCCCAGACGCCUACGGGAGGCAGCAGUAGGGAAGCUUCGGCAAUGAGCGGAAGUCUGACCGAGAAACGCCGCGUGAGUGAAGAAGGCUUUCGGAUCGUAAAGCUCUGUUGUAAGAGAAGAACGAGUGUGAGAGUGGAAAGUUCACACUGUGACGGUAUCUUACCAGAAAGGGACGGCUAACUACGUG
rnacentral:rRNA from 1 species